GUAGGUGGCAAGCGUUGUCCGGAAUUAUUGGGCGUAAAGCGCGCGCAGGUGGUUCUUUAAGUCUGAUGUGAAAGCCCCCCGGCUCAACCGGGGAGGGUCAUUGGAAACUGGGGAACUUGAGUGCAGGAGAGGAAAGUGGAAUUCCACGUGUAGCGGUGAAAUGCGUAGAUAUGUGGAGGAACACCAGUGGCGAAGGCGACUUUCUGGCCUGUAACUGACACUGAGGCGCGAAAGCGUGGGGAGCAGACAGGGAUUAGAUACCCUGGUAGUCCACGCCGUAAACGAUGAGUGCUAAGUGUUGGGGGGGUUUCCCGCCCCGUCAGUGCUGCAGCUAACGCAUUAAGCACUCCGCCUGGGGAGUACGGUCGCAAGACUG
rnacentral:rRNA from 1 species